CGUCACUCGGACCCACAUAAGCUCGCAUGGUGGGAUGUUUGGAGUGGGGACUUACUCUUUUGAUAAUCCGCUGGCGCCGUCUCAAAACAUUAGCCCGAACUCAGACUCCAAGACUUGGAGUCAAAGUGCGACAGAGUUCCACAGAAAGGCCUUUUUGAAACAGAGUCGCUCAGAUGGGAGUGGUGAAACGCCUUCCGCACCAGGACUGUGAGGAUAGCUGGGAACGCAGAGAGCGGCUUGAGAGACAGCGAGCGAG
rnacentral:lncRNA from 1 species